rnacentral:rRNA from 16 species
CCGAAAGGCGUAGUCGAUGGGAAUGCAGUUAAUAUUCUGCAGCUUGGUGGUAGUGACGGAUGCAGUGUGUUGUAUCUCCUUAUUGGAUUGGGGGUGCAGCGAAUGUGUUCCAGGAAAUAGCUCCACCGUAUAAACCGUACCCGAAACCGACACAGGUGGACUGGUAGAGCAUACCAAGGCGCUUGAGAGAACUGCAUUGAAGGAACUCUGCAAAUUACUCCCGUAAGUUCG